UGAAUUAUAUGAUGAGUUUGGCAAAUUUUGGAACCCUCCAUAGACGUAAAUCUGAACAAAAAGUGUCACGCUUUCCAGGUAAGUGGAACCUCGGAACCUUGAAUUUAGCUAUGCUCAUAGUAUGCAUGAAAGUGUGAUAUGAGAAGUAUGUUUUAGAAGUUUGAGCAUAGAAUGUGUUAGAGAUGACACAUGUUGAAUGUGUUUAUGUAUGUUUACUGAAACGCGUACGCACUACCUUAUGAAUCGAGAUUCAUGACUAGCUUUCUCAUGAUUAGAUCAUUAUGUUAUGCCUCCGUCACAUAUGUUACAGAAGAAUUGAUUCAUAAU